rnacentral:ncRNA from 1 species
CUUUGUUGGUGAGGCGAUGAACCACCGGUUGAAUUUGGUCGCUUGCGCUGUAAAAACAGCCUAGACCGGUGGGGAGCCAGUAGCGAAACCGGCCCGAAUUGGA